rnacentral:tRNA from 1 species
GUUCCACGUAGCUUAACAACCCAAAGCAUGGCACUGAAGAUGCCAAGAUGGUUGACCACCCUGACCCGGGAACA